rnacentral:rRNA from 1 species
UACGUAGGGUGCGAGCGUUGUCCGGAAUUAUUGGGCGUAAAGAGCUCGUAGGCGGUCUGUCGCGUCUGCUGUGAAAAUCCAGGGCUCAACCCUGGACCUGCAGUGGGUACGGGCAGGCUAGAGUUCGGUAGGGGAGAUCGGAAUUCCUGGUGUAGCGGUGAAAUGCGCAGAUAUCAGGAAGAACACCGAUGGCGAAGGCAGUUCUCUGGGACGGUACUGACGCUGAGACGCGAAAGCGUGGGGAGCGAACAGG